UCUCCGUCUCUGAGAAACCCUAAACCCAGCACCAUCACUAUCCCACCGUCGCACUCUUCUCAUCGUUCUCCUCCUCAUCGCCGUCAGUCGGUCGUCGUCUCUUGGAAUCGUUACUCUUCUUGUCGCCGUCGGCCGGUCGUCGUCUUUUCGGCGAUCUCUCUCUCUCUCGCCCUCUUCAAGGUCAACAACACCUAUUAUCGUCACCUCCCCUCGACGUCGAGUCUGAGCUGUUGGCAUCGCUGCCGCGAAGGACUGCUCCGUCAUCGUCGCUGCUCGAUUUGUUAGUGUCCGUCUCUCUCUUCGAGUUUUCUCUCUGUCUGAGGAUGGCUGAUUACUCGUGAGAAUUCAGGGGAAAAAUAAUGUUGUUGCUGUCUCUGUGUUAAUUGGAGAACUUGACUUAUUUGAACUUGUCACAUGCUGGAUUUGUGGGAAAAUAUUGUUGUUGCUGCCUCUGUGUUACAUGCUUGGUUACUCUUGAUCUUUCACUAUCUUUCGACAUGAAUGGUGCAAUGCUUUGUUGUUACUGCCUCACCUCCAAGAAUUGACACUUUCUCCAGAGAUCUUCCAUAUUGACAUCCCAGUAACUCAAGACCUCCAUGGUUUCUUUUUGAACUUUCCACUCAAUGGAUCUCUUCAUACCAUAAUAGUAGGUCACACAAACUUCAGUGUGUUAAGUUUUUGGUUUCUAUAAUUGUUAUGUAAUUGGAAUAAUUGUUGAUGGUUGAUUUCAGUGAAUCUGGGAUAAUUUUGUCCUGCUGUUUUACUUGGAUGAUAGUUGAUGGUGUUUUGUUAAAUUAUCUGAAAUAAUUUUAUUGA